UACGUAGGGGGGCAAGCGUUGUCCGGAAUCAUUGGGCGUAAAGCGCGUGUAGGCGGCUCGGUAAGUCCGCUCUGAAAGUCCAGGGCUCAACCCUGGGAUGCGGGUGGAUACUGCCGGGCUCGAGUCCGGAAGAGGCGAGUGGAAUUCCCGGUGUAGCGGUGAAAUGCGCAGAUAUCGGGAGGAACACCAAUGGCGAAGGCAGCUCGCUGGGACGUGACUGACGCUGAGGCGCGAAAGCGUGGGGAGCGAACAGG
rnacentral:rRNA from 1 species